UACGAAGGGGGCUAGCGUUGUUCGGAAUUACUGGGCGUAAAGCGCGCGCAGGCGGUUUUCCAAGUCAGUGGUGAAAGCCCGGAGCUCAACUCCGGAACUGCCAUUGAAACUGUUAAACUUGAGGACGAGAGAGGUGAGUGGAAUUCCCAGUGUAGAGGUGAAAUUCGUAGAUAUUGGGAAGAACACCAGUGGCGAAGGCGGCUCACUGGACUGGUAUUGACGCUGAUGUGCGAAAGCGUGGGGAGCAAACAGG
rnacentral:rRNA from 1 species